rnacentral:lncRNA from 1 species
ACUCCGAUUAGGAGUCUUCUUCAUUUAUUUAUUAUUUUUUUUUGGGGCUUUUGGGUUUAAGGCCCAAUGGGCCGGGUGUUACAAGUAUUGUUGCUGAUGAGAACCUUUGACUCUUCAAUCAUAGCUAUUUGCUAAUUGGGAUAUUGAGUUGCUUGCUCAUAAGUGGUGGAUUUGGUAGGAAGAAUCGGGGGAGUAGAAAGUUGCACCGGGUCACCAUGAGACCGAGAGGAGGAUGGAAGGAGGAACAAAGCAAGACAGAACUAGCUUUGGUUUGUUCCACUUGUGAAAUAGUGGAGACCAUGAUAAGAUCCUCGAUUAGAG